UACGAAGGGUGCAAGCGUUGUCCGGAAUCAUUGGGCGUAAAGCGCGUGUAGGCGGCCCGGUAAGUCCGCUGUGAAAGUCCAGGGCUCAACCCUCGAAUGCCGGUGGAUACUGUCGGGCUAGAGUGCGGAAGAGGCGAGUGGAAUUCCUGGUGUAGCGGUGAAAUGCGCAGAUAUCAGGAGGAACACCUAUUGCGAAGGCAGCUCGCUGGGACGUAACUGACGCUGAGACGCGAAAGCGUGGGGAGCAAACAGG
rnacentral:rRNA from 1 species